rnacentral:rRNA from 1 species
GACGAACGCUGGCGGCGUGCUUAACACAUGCAAGUCGAACGGAAAGGCCCUGCUUUUGUGGGGUGCUCGAGUGGCGAACGGGUGAGUAACACGUGAGUAACCUGCCCUUGACUUUGGGAUAACUUCAGGAAACUGGGGCUAAUACCGGAUAGGAGCUCCUGCUGCAUGGUGGGGGUUGGAAAGUUUCGGCGGUUGGGGAUGGACUCGCGGCUUAUCAGCUUGUUGGUGGGGUAGUGGCUUACCAAGGCUUUGACGGGUAGCCGGCCUGAGAGGGCGACCGGCCACAUUGGGACUGAGAUACGGCCCAGACUCCUACGGGAGGCAGCAGUGGGGAAUAUUGCACAAUGGGCGGAAGCCUGAUGCAGCAACGCCGCGUGCGGGAUGACGGCCUUCGGGUUGUAAACCGCUUUCGCCUGUGACGAAGCGUGAGUGACGGUAAUGGGUAAAGAAGCACCGGCUAACUACGUGCCAGCAGCCGCGGUGAUACGUAGGGUGCGAGCGUUGUCCGGAUUUAUUGGGCGUAAAGGGCUCGUAGGUGGUUGAUCGCGUCGGAAGUGUAAUCUUGGGGCUUAACCCUGAGCGUGCUUUCGAUACGGGUUGACUUGAGGAAGGUAGGGGAGAAUGGAAUUCCUGGUGGAGCGGUGGAAUGCGCAGAUAUCAGGAGGAACACCAGUGGCGAAGGCGGUUCUCUGGGCCUUUCCUGACGCUGAGGAGCGAAAGCGUGGGGAGCGAACAGGCUUAGAUACCCUGGUAGUCCACGCUGUAAACGGUGGGCACUAGGUGUGGGGUCCAUUCCACGGGUUCCGUGCCGUAGCUAACGCUUUAAGUACCCCGCCUGGGGAGUACGGCCGCAAGGCUAAAACUCAAAGGAAUUGACGGGGCCCCGCACAAGCGGCGGAGCAUGCGGAUUAAUUCGAUGCAACGCGUAGAACCUUACCUGGGUUUGACAUGGAUCGGGAGUGCUCAGAGAUGGGUGUGCCUCUUUUGGGGUCGGUUCACAGGUGGUGCAUGGCUGUCGUCAGCUCGUGUCGUGAGAUGUUGGGUUAAGUCCCGCAACGAGCGCAACCCUUGUUCACUGUUGCCAGCACGUUAUGGUGGGGACUCAGUGGAGACCGCCGGGGUCAACUCGGAGGAAGGUGGGGAUGACGUCAAGUCAUCAUGCCCCUUAUGUCCAGGGCUUCACGCAUGCUACAAUGGCUGGUACAGAGAGUGGCGAGCCUGUGAGGGUGAGCGAAUCUCGGAAAGCCGGUCUCAGUUCGGAUUGGGGUCUGCAACUCGACCUCAUGAAGUCGGAGUCGCUAGUAAUCGCAGAUCAGCAACGCUGCGGUGAAUACGUUCCCGGG